rfam:Streptococcus mutans TA159, complete genome.
UGAGAAAAGCAGAAGUGAGAACUUCUCGCCUUGCGACUUAAAGUUGUCUGGCCCAACAUGUUAAAGUUCCUGUGGAAUAUUAUGUGUAUACGGGCUUGAUUUGUCAGGUCCGUUUUUGUUUUUCUCA